rnacentral:rRNA from 1 species
GACGAACGCUGGCGGCGUGCCUAAUACAUGCAAGUAGAACGCACAGUUUAUACCGUAGCUUGCUACACCAUAGACUGUGAGUUGCGAACGGGUGAGUAACGCGUAGGUAACCUGCCUGGUAGCGGGGGAUAACUAUUGGAAACGAUAGCUAAUACCGCAUAAUAUUGAUUAUUGCAUGAUAAUUAAUUGAAAGGUGCAAUUGCACCACUACCAGAUGGACCUGCGUUGUAUUAGCUAGUAGGUGAGGUAACGGCUCACCUAGGCGACGAUACAUAGCCGACCGGAGAGGGUGAGCGGCCACACUGGGACUGAGACACGGCCCAGACUCCUACGGGAGGCAGCAGGAGGGAAUCUUCGGCAAUGGACGAAAGUCUGACCGAGCAACGCCGCGAGAGUGAAGAAGGGUGUCGGAUCGUAAAGCUCUGUUGUAAGAGAAGAACGGGUGUGAGAGUGGAAAGUUCACACUGUGACGGUAUCUUACCAGAAAGGGACGGCUAACUACGUG